rnacentral:rRNA from 1 species
GAUGAACGCUGACAGAAUGCUUAACACAUGCAAGUCAACUUGAACUUCGGUUUGGGUGGCGGACGGGUGAGUAACGCGUAAAGAACUUGCCUCACAGCUAGGGACAACAUUUGGAAACGAAUGCUAAUACCUGAUAUUAUGAUUUUAGGGCAUCCUAGAAUUAUGAAAGCUAUAUGCGCUGUGAGAGAGCUUUGCGUCCCAUUAGCUAGUUGGAGAGGUAGCGUCUCACCAAGGCGAUGAUGGGUAGCCGGCCUGAGAGGGUGAACGGCCACAAGGGGACGGAGACACGGCCCUUACUCAUACGGGAGGAAGGAGUGGGGAAUAUUGGAAAAAGGACCAAGAGUCUGAUCCAGCAAUUCUGUGCGCAAGAUGAAGUUUUUCGGAAUGUAAAGUGGUUUAAGUUGCGAAGAAAAAAAUGACGGUACCAACAGAAGAAGUGACGGCUAAAUACGUG